rnacentral:tRNA from 1 species
CGCGGGAUAGAGCAGUCCGGUAGCUCGUUGGGCUCAUAACCCAAAGGCCGUAGGUUCAAAUCCUACUCCCGCAA